GACGAACGCUGGCGGCGUGCUUAACACAUGCAAGUCGAACGAAGAGCGAUGGAAGCUUGCUUCUAUCAAUCUUAGUGGCGAACGGGUGAGUAACGCGUAAUCAACCUGCCCUUCAGAGGGGGACAACAGGUGGAAACGACUGCUAAUACCGCAUACGAUCUAAUCUCGGCAUCGAGUAAAGAUGAAAGGUGGUCUUUACUUAUAAGCUAUCACUGACGGAGCGGUAUCGGUCUGGUUAGCUAGCUGGUGGCGUAAAGGCCUAACCAAGCGAUGAUCAGUAGCCGGUCUGAGGGGAUGAACGGCCACAUUGGGACUGAGACACGGCCCAGACUCCUACGGGAAGCAGCAGUGGGGAAACUUCCGCAAUGGACGGAAGUCUGACGGAGCAACGCCGCGUGAGUGAUGACGGCCUUCGGGUUGUAAAGAUCCGGUAAUCAGGGCGAAAGGCAUUCUUGCGAAAAGUUAGAAGGAUUGACGGUACCGGAAUAGAAAGCCACGGCUAACUACGUG
rnacentral:rRNA from 1 species